rnacentral:rRNA from 1 species
UACGGAGGGUGCAAGCGUUAUCCGGAUUCACUGGGUUUAAAGGGUGCGUAGGCGGUCUUCCAAGUCAGUGGUGAAAGCCCGGAGCUCAACUCCGGAACUGCCAUUGAAACUGUGAGCUUUGAGUACGAGAGAGGUGAGUGGAAUUCCCAGUGUAGAGGUGAAAUUCGUAGAUAUUGGGAAGAACACCGGUGGCGAAGGCGGGCUCACUGGCUCGUAACUGACGCUCAGGCGCGACAGCGUGGGGAUCAAACAGG